rnacentral:lncRNA from 1 species
GUCCGGGGCUGCGUGGGUUCCCCGGCCGCAGCCGCUUUGCGGGACCCAGGAGUGCAGCCGGGGGGCGCGCCGUUUGGGGGUCCAAGUCACUGCAGGGUCACAAUGGAAUAAGUUUUGUCAGGAAACACGUGUGUGCCCUGCCGAGAUGCCUGGAAAAUCACAAAGAAUAGUCAUCAAUACCCUCUGUGCUUGGAAAGAUGUUCCGGGAAGAGAAUGUGCUGGACUUUUGGGUCUUCCUAGAGUCCCCAAGUGGACUCACAUCCAGCUUCACUUUGGAAUAUGGUCGGGGAGCAAAUAUGGGAGUGGCACAGUUCCUCCCCCUCCUGGGCUGGGGGUACGUAAGUGAUUUAUGUCGCUUUGAGUGAUGUGUUCUCUUCUUGCUUUUCCUGUGCAAUUUGACAUCUUGUUUGCCAAGGAUUGAACCCAGGGCCUUCCACAGGCUAGACAUGUGGCACUCUACCACUGAGCUACAUGCCCAAACUCCCCUUUCCACACAUACUCUUUUUAAAUUUUGUUUUGAGACAGGAUCUUGCUAAGUUGCCCUGGCUGACCUUGUAUUCAAAGUCCUCUUGCCUCAGUCCCUGACAGAGCUGGGAUUACAAGUGAGUUGCUGGGAUUACAGGUGUGUUCCACCCUAGCAGUCUGACAUUUUAAGGAUACUGUCUGGGCUGAAUGUUAUGUUUUACUCUUAUUAAUUAAUUCUCUCAAUGUGUCUUUGGGUUCCUGCUCCUCUAGGCAUUGAUUUUUCACCUUUGAGCACAGAGUGAUGUGGCAGUGGUGUCAGAACUGUUCCUGAACCAACUAGUAGAGGUUGCCUGUGAAGGCAACUCCACAGUGUGGGGAAUCCGAGAAAGAGCGCAGAGGCCCUGCAAGAUGUUCCUCUGACCCCUGAGAUUGCCCACUUGGUGGAGUUUUGCUGCUGGAUCUACCAGUGGGCUCCAUUUCCUUUCUUUCUGGUCCCUUCUUGUGCUUAGGAAUGGAUCAGACAUCAGUUCUCUCACCUGCUCCUGACUUCAAAAUGUUUCUGCUCAAUAAAUAGAACUUAGCUGCUCA